rnacentral:tRNA from 1 species
UAGAAAGUAAUUUAAUGGAAGUAUGAAGGGUUUGGAUUUUUUCGGGGUGGGUUGGUUUCCUCCUUUUCUUA